rnacentral:rRNA from 1 species
CCUACGGGUGGCAGCAGUAGGGAAUAUUGCACAAUGGGGGAAACCCUGAUGCAGCAACGCCGCGUGGGUGAAGAAGGUUUUCGGCGCGUAAAGCCCUAUCGUCAGAGAAGAAGAUGACGGUAUCUAACCAAUAAGCCCCGGCUAACUACGUGCCAGCAGCCGUGGUAAUACGGAGGGUGCAAGCGUUAUCCGGAAGCACUGGGUGUAAAGUGGGCGCAGGCGGGAAUGCAAGUCAGAAGUGAAAUCCUAGGGCUUAACCCUGGAACUGCACUUGAAACUGCGAGGCUGGAGUGUAGGAGAGGUAGGUGGAAGUCCUGGUGUAGCGGUGAAAUGCGUAGAUAUCAGGAGGAACACCAGUGGCGAAGGCGGCCUGCUGGACUGUAACUGACGUUGAGGCGCGAAGGCGUGGGGAGCAAACAGGAUUAGAUACCCCAGUAGUC